rnacentral:lncRNA from 1 species
GAGAAACCUAUGGGCUUGAAAUGAUUACAUGACUGUGUAUAAGAUUAGAGUUACAGGAUCUGGCAAUUGUGUGUUUUAAAAAGCUCAACCUUUGCGUUCGGAAUUAAUAGCUGUAGCAUCCUAACUAAUCAUCUGCUUUCGUUCUUGUAGUUUUCUUCCGAUUCAAAAAUAAUACAGGCCAUAGGAUACAGUGGAGCUGGCAAGGGCUUGUGUUCCAUUAUGUCACCUAGCAACUUCACAUGCUUCCAAAUAAACAGCCUUAGGUGAAGUUUGAUCCGCUGAAAACAUGUGAAAAGAAACAUUACUUGAAAAGGAAAAGAAACAAAACAAAAUCCCUGUCUACUGCUUACUUUCAGGUGAAGAAACAGACCCAGAUAAAUGAAGUACUCCAAGACCUAAAACAUAUGUACAUGUUCUGCACAAACUGCCACUUUCAUGUCUUGGCUAAGUUGAUCCAAAUGUAAUUAAAUUUUUACACCUUCCUAUACCUGCAAAAUUAAUUUGAAAAAAAAAAUGUGCAGGAACAAAGCUUUUAGAUUUUAGAUAAUUUCUGCACCUAAUCAGGACAUGAGUCUUCUAAUAACAUUUUUUAUGACACAGAAUUUUAUAAAAUGACACAAAAAGUCAUAAAUUUGUUUGUUUGAGCCUGUCACCUUUCCAUCCAUAUUGGAAUAAUCAAAGGAAAAGACAAAUCAAAGAUAUGUAGCCUAUUCUUGAUACACUGGUUAAAAAAGUUCUAUCUGAAAUGGUUCGCUACUGCUAACUUUCACCAGUGGCUUGUCUUCUCCUAUAAAUGGGUAUAUAAGAACAAAAUGGACUAAUUUGUAGCACAUUUGACAAUAUGUUGUACCUUGGUCUUAGAAUAUACUGAGCAUCCCGACUUCAUUCAUUUCAAACUGCUUUGGGACUCUAAGGAACACAUUCUGGGUGGGCCCCACUUGGAGUGCUACAUCCAGAUCUGGGGCUCCCUGCGCAAGAAAGGUGU